ensembl:snoRNA SNORD88A small nucleolar RNA, C/D box 88A
GGGCCUCCAUGAUGUCUAGCACUGGGCUCCGAUUGCCACUGAGGACAUGGUGCCCCCUGGGACCUUUGACACCCAGGGGUCUGAGAGGCUC